rnacentral:rRNA from 1 species
AUUGAACGCUGGCGGCAGGCCUAACACAUGCAAGUCGAACGGUAGCACAGAGAGCUUGCUCUCGGGUGACGAGUGGCGGACGGGUGAGUAAUGUCUGGGAAACUGCCUGAUGGAGGGGGAUAACUACUGGAACCGGUAGCUAAUACCGCAUAGCGUCACAAGACCAAAGAGGGGGACCUUCGGGCCUCUUGCCAUCAGAUGUUCCCAGAGGGGAUUAGCUAGUAGGUGGGGUAACGGCUCACCGAGGCGACGAUCCCUAGCUGGUCUGAUAGGAUGACCAGCCACACGGGAACUGAGACACGGUCCAGACUCCUACGGGAGGCAGCAGUGGGGAAUAUUGCACAAUGGGAGAAAGCCUGAUGCAGCCAUGCCGCGUGUAUGAAGAAGGCCUUCGGGUUGUAAAGUACUUUCAGCGGGGAGGAAGGCGAUAAGGUUAAUAACCUUGUCGAUUGACGUUACCCGCAGAAGAAGCACCGGCUAACUCCGUGCCAGCAGCCGCCGCAGUAA